rnacentral:misc_RNA from 1 species
UUGGAGUUACUUUUCUUUCCUUCAUGGACCCACGGCCAGACUAAGGUCCCUAGAUCAUGGAGGCAUAGAGUUUCCUUUUAUCCUUUUUUUUUCUAGAAAGCAACUACUCUCGAGCUCAGGGUCCCGCCCGGCUUUUUGUGGACGCCGCGCGGAAAAUGAAAUAUGGCAGUCAUGGACGACUGCCUUUUUACUUCCUUCUGGUGAGCGGUGAAAUCUCGUGCUGUUGUGGCGGUGUGUUAUAUGUUUCCGUCGGCCAAAAUAUCAAAGCAACUGCGAACGACGACUGCUGAUGUCAGGCCUCCGAGUCCCAUCGCCUACGGUUUCCUUUUUGCCGUCUGAUGCCUGGACGAUCAAUUUCUACCGCACUUCCUGAGCGCGGCACGCCGAAUUUAUCGGCAGGUCGGCGGAAACGGCCUUCGUAAGAUGGAGGCCCACCUUGUAUCUCAGCGAUCGAUCUUUCAUGCAGAUUGCCUGCACAACUUUGCUGCCCUUGACAAUACAGACAUCUGUGGUGUGGAUCAAGGUCCACUGUGGAUUUUCAUUCCGAACGAUUUCAGCGGGAGCCGAAGCUGGCAGAUUACCUUUUUCAAGUGUCUCAUUCUUGUGCUACUCACAGACAGAGGCAUUCAGCAUGCAAAAACAAGAUGACACAACCACCCUGGAAGUACUAUUGCUUUCCUGUUGUGUUGCUUCCGAGGGUUGUCCUUCUGGUUCUCAUUAUAUGGCCACUGUGGGACCAUUAGGCAUAGCAGGUGUCUUCUGAAUGUGUAAGGAACACGGAAUGCUCAUAGCUUCAAAGAUGGUGCCGACACCAUGCGCGCCUGUCUCGUGAAAACGCCAAAUUUUUGCGGACACCAAUGAGUCUUAUUCAUAGCUCUUCAGCAGCAGAAACUCAAAAAGAUUAUUUUCACUGAUUAUGCACCAUCACAGACAGGGGUGUCAACAUUGUUUGGGUGGCACCUCAUUCCCACAAGUACUGAAUAAGUGGAGUUUCUUGCGAGCUGGCGAAAGACUGUGAAUUUUGGUGUAACACUCUGCAGUGCAGCGUUUCAUAUAAACAUUCUUUACCUGAAAAAUUAUUGCAGAAAUGUGUAACACGGCUAAGAGUUAUGCAUUAAUGCAUGCUUUUGAGUCAGAUAUAGCACAGGAAAUGAAUGUUUUUUUUAAGGCAUGCUGCGGAAACCCAUGCUUCAACACAUGAUCUAACUGCAUUGUGCAGUGGCACUACAGCCACUUGGGCUAACGUUUUUAUCUGAUAACUUCUAUGGAUAAAAUGCAUAUAUAUUCAGGAUUAUUGCAUAUGAUAUUAUCGCUUAAAAGGCAUAUUUUUGUGUUUACUCUGUGCAAAGCAUUAUUAAUGUACUUACAAUGUUCACGUGUUUCUUGAAAAAUUUUCUAUUAAAGUUUCUAUUUUUCACA